CAUACAAAUUCAUGUAUACCGACUGGGACGACCAGUUAUUUAUGUAAAGAUUCCCAUCUGAGUGCCUAAAUCAAAUGGCCCAACAUCAUACUUAUGAUACAUGGAAAGUCAUGGUACCAAUAACAGACACAUAAGCAUUACCACUCCACAUUCAGUUCAGAUUCUGUAUUAAAUUGAGUUAGCUUAUAUUACCAUUUCAGGCUUCUCAGCCAAACAUAUACACACACAAAAAGGAUUAGAUAGAUUCAACCAAUUCAAACCCAGCACAUGCGCAGGCCUAGAAAAUGGAAUAUAAACCGUGGAUUUAUGCCCAAAAUCAGAUCUAACACAGUUAACAUUUAACAAGUCUCUCAUGUUUAAGUUUAACGCAUGUCUUUCUAAUUACUCAGGACGACCCAACCAUCAUGUAAAUAUGCUACUCCUUAAUUACCAACUCUAUAAGUCACCGACGGAUUCAAAAAUUGAAGUUUAUGGAUUUCUAGUGAUCUCAAGUUAAUAUACAAUAAUAAUUAAGUUCACGCUCAAAUACUUAUAAAUAUUUAGUGAAUUUCUUAAUUAUAUGGUGCGGGUAAAACUAAUUAAUUUACGUAACCCUUAAACUUAACUACGUGGUAGAUCCACCCCUUCAUAAGGCAAAUCGUCAUCCAAACCCGUACACAUAUACAACAACAACAACAACAACAAACCCAGUGUAAUUCCAUAAGUGAAGUCUGGGGAAGAUAGUCAUAUGUACGCACACCUUACUCCGACCUUUAAGAAGUCAGAAAGGUUGUUUCCAAGCGCACAUACAUACUAAAAGAAGAUAAAUCCAUCAAAUACAGGAUUUCCACAACAUGAAGCAUAUACUCAUAAAGAUGCUGAUCUUCCUAUUAAGAAGACUAUGUGGACAUGAAUUCGCUCAUCUUUAAACAGAACUAGCGUUGUACUCAAAGAACAAGACAGAAGGCUUAGUGUGUAUAAUCAUUUCAAUCAUGUAACUAGCUAACAUGCCUCGAAAAAAAUCAGAAAUAGCCAGAUUUAUAAUUGGUAAUUGAAAAAUAACUACAGUUUCAAAAGUAAUCGAAAUUUAGCCACUUUUUUUUUAUAUAAAGAUAAAAUUCGAACAAAAAUACUCUUAAAAAUCCGUAAAAAUCCCAGCAUAAUAUGCUAGAGUUCGAAUUUUUUACAUAUAAGAUUUCAGCAUAAUGUAUUGAAAUUUCAUAAUAUGCUGGAGUUCCAACAUAAUAUGUUAGAAGUUUAUAUAUGCAAAAGCUCCAUAAUCCAGUAUAUUAUGCUAGAACUUUUGUUGUUACAGCAAAACAAUGACUAUUUUUCAAUAAUCUUGCAAACACUGACUAUUUUUCAAUUAUCAGUCCGAAAACUGGCUAGCCCGUGCUAUUUGUCCAACAUGUCAUGACAAAAUUAAAUUUCAUGAUACCAAACUCCAUGUAGCAAUGCAAAAUUUUGAAACAUAAACAGAAUGAUAUCUAAAGUUAAGAGAAAUAGCACCUUAAACCGGAGACAAGCUCUAGCUUUUGGUCUUUACUCUUUAAUUCCCACAACCAACGUGAAGGAAGGUGGCGGAGUCUUAGUAUUGAACUGUAUAUUGGUAGAUAUUUGACUGUGGUAAAAUGUGUUUGCGUGUCUUGUUUAGAUGUGUAAUGUGGGUGGUAUUGUGUAUUUAUAAGAGAGUGAGGAGUAAAACGAU
rnacentral:lncRNA from 1 species